rnacentral:rRNA from 1 species
UGGGGAAUUUUGGACAAUGGGCGAAAGCCUGAUCCAGCAAUGCCGCGUGUGUGAAGAAGGCCUUCGGGUUGUAAAGCACUUUUGUCCGGAAAGAAAUCCUUGGCUCUAAUACAGUCGGGGGAUGACGGUACCGGAAGAAUAAGCACCGGCUAACUACGUGCCAGCAGCCGCGGUAAUACGUAGGGUGCAAGCGUUAAUCGGAAUUACUGGGCGUAAAGCGUGCGCAGGCGGUUUGCUAAGACCGAUGUGAAAUCCCCGGGCUCAACCUGGGAACUGCAUUGGUGACUGGCAGGCUAGAGUAUGGCAGAGAGGGGUAGAAUUCCACGUGUAGCAGUGAAAUGCGUAGAGAUGUGGAGGAAUACCGAUGGCGAAGGCAGCCCCCUGGGCCAAUACUGACGCUCAUGCACGAAAGCGUGGGGAGCAAACAGGAUUAGAUACCCUGGUAGUCCACGCCCUAAACGAUGUCAACUAGUUGUUGGGGGAUUCAUUUCCUUAGUAACGUAGCUAACGCGUGAAGUUGACCGCCUGGGGAGUACGGUCGAAGAUUAAAACUUAAAGGAAUUGACGGGGUCAUAGCUGUUUCCU